AUUGAACGCUGGCGGCAGGCCUAACACAUGCAAGUCGAACGAGUGGCGGACGGGUGAGUAAUGUCUGGGAAACUGCCCGCUGGAGGGGGAUAACUCCUGGAAACGGUAGCUAAUACCGCAUACCAUCGGAUUUGCCCAGAUGGGAUUAGCUUGUAGGUGAGGUAACGGCUCACCUCGGCGACGAUCCCUCGCUGGUCUGAGAGGAGGACCAGCCACACUGGAACGGAGACACGGUCCAGACUCCUACGGGAGGCAGCAGUGGGGAAGAUUGCACAAGGGGCGCAAGCCUGAUGCAGCCAUGCCGCGUGUAUGAAGAAGGCCUUCGGGUUGUAAAGUACUUUCAGCGGGGAGGCGGUACCCGAAGAAGAAGCACCGGCUAACUCCGUGCCAGCAGCCGCGGUAAUAG
rnacentral:rRNA from 1 species